GGGGUCAGCGGUGGCGGUAAGACUUUGGAGAAGGAAGGAGAAAGUCGAGAGGGAGGGAAGAGGAGGCGGUCCUGAUUCUCCACUUUACUGCCCAUUCCUUCUCCCUUGCUGAAACAUCCAGCCGGUGCCUUUGUGGCCUCUUGGGCUGGGUUGCAAUCUCAUGCCAACCCGCUUGCCGGUUGUCAGGAGGCCUCUGGGGAGGACGCUGCAGGAGCCUCAAACGCCACCUACUCCCGGCCUCUCUCCCGGUUGAUGUUUCUAUUUUGGGCACCACAUUAUUUCCUGCUGUGAUUUUUUUUUUCAGGCUUCUAAUUCAGGCUCUGAGU
rnacentral:lncRNA from 1 species